rnacentral:lncRNA from 1 species
AUCAUUACUGAAUUUGGUUGAUGCUCUAUGGAGAAAGCCAAAGUUAGGAGUUUUGUCUGUCAUUGAGGUAGAGACCCUCAACUAGGGAAGCUUUGAACUGUUCAUCCAGCUGGUAUUCUGUACCACCUUGCCUCUGGAGUUGAGCUUAGAACCCUACUUCCAUUUUUUCUGUCACUUCAGGGCUGUUUCAACUAUUGUUUCUUCAUUUACUUAUAUCAAGUGUGUUUUCUCAAUUCAUAAGCAUGGGAGACCCCAAGAGACAGAUAUCGCAUUAGUCCUUUUUUGUUUGUUUAGCAGGAAGGUUUUUAAGUAAAGCUCCUAAAUGAUAUGUCUCAUUCUCAUGGAAAUUCAUCAAUAUUGUUUUACUGUCUCCUAUCUGGUUACUUUUUAUUUUAGGUAACCACUGUGAUACAAUAUACACAAGUCCCUGGAUCAUGAAAAUAAAUUGAAGAGCUAAUGUUAAUAGUAAGUUCUCAACCAGGGGUUAUGCUGGAACCCAGGAUACAUAACCCACAGGAGGGCCCUCCGUGAACUCAGUUUUCAUGGAAUUGUCCCAUACCUUCACAGGUAGAAGCAUGGCUAUGUUAAAAGUGGCCAAUGAAAGUAUAGUUUCUUUAUGCCUUAUACUUUGUUUGGUGAGGAUUUCUGCCAGAGGUGUUUGUUUCCUUUAGUUUUCUGGUUGCUAUGAUUUUAUACAGCUUUGGUGACCUCUAUGAGUACCAGAUAAAGUUAGCCUAGAGAGAAAUACUGAGUAGCUCGAGUGGUCAAGAAUCUUUAUUUUAGGGACAUCCGCAUGUCCUAAGUAAUUCCCUUCUAUAUAAAUAUCUCUUUUCGGCAUAAUGUGUUGCAUGCCUUCAAGGUGGACCACUAUGAGGUUGUUCUAGUCCAAGGUGAAGAAAGCUACAUUUUGCUCUAAGCUAGACUGACAUAUGGACUUCUAGAUUUGAACCCUAAACACAGGAGGAAGUGAUUGAUUGUAUUACAAAAAGAAUCUUCUUUGGUAAAUAACUAUUUUUUUUUUUAAUGGCCAGAUGGGAGAAAG